ACUAACUUUUACUUUCUUCAGUUUGUUGGUUUCUAUCAUAUUUAGCUAAACCUAAUUUUACCGUUUCUCUCAUCACCUGCUUUGCCUUUGCUUUCUCUCAUCGCUGAUUGCUCACUCAAUGUUCCUUUCAUAUUUAGCUAAACCUAAUUUUAAUGGAGCUUGUGGCGUUUCAGUGAUCAUCCACAUCAUAUAUAUUUCAAAUCUGUUUUAACAAUUUCAUGGCGACAAGAAAGAUGAAGUUGCCGCAAUUGGUGGCACAAAAACCAGAAAUGGAGAAGGCUUCGAAAGCAGAGUUUAAAGAAAACGGCGAAUGCUUGAGAGAGGAGCAAGUGCAAAAUUUGAAGAGAUCGAAAGAGGAUGCAAUCAACUGAAACAAGAAACCUAAACGCUGACGAAACAAUCAGCCAUGACUCAAAUCAGGCUCGCUCUCAUCUUCAAUAUCUCCAAAGCCCCACAAGGUGGAUAUCUCGUUGAAGCCUUGAAGUUGUUGCCGAAAAUGAAAACACAGAGAAGGAAAACAGGCGGACAGCAGCAACCCAGAAAACAUGUAGGCAGGUCUCAUGUUUGUAGAUAGUAACAUAAAUAGUACUUGAAAAACAUGUAUUAUCUUUUCGGUUUUGUGUAUUCAAAUCGAAUUUUCAAUCACUUGUAAAACAUGUAAUGCCCAUUGAUUUGAAAUAAUAUACAACAUAUUAAUAGUAGGAUUGUUUCUGUUAAAAA